CCCGAAAGCUAUUUAGGUAGCGCCUCGUGAAUUCAUCUCCGGGGGUAGAGCACUGUUUCGGCAAGGGGGUCAUCCCGACUUACCAACCCGAUGCAAACUGCGAAUACCGGAGAAUGUUAUCACGGGAGACACACGGCGGGUGCUAACGUCCGUCGUGAAGAGGGAAACAACCCAGACCGCCAGCUAAGGUCCCAAAGUCAUGGUUAAGUGGGAAACGAUGUGGGAAGGCCCAGACAGCCAGGAUGUUGGCUUAGAAGCAGCCAUCAUUUAAAGAAAGCGUAAUAGCUCACUGGUCGAGUCGGCCUGCGCGGAAGAUGUAACGGGGCUAAACCAUG
rnacentral:rRNA from 1 species